rnacentral:rRNA from 1 species
GACGAACGCUGGCGGCGUGCUUAACACAUGCAAGUCGAACGGAAAGGCCCUGCUUUUGUGGGGUGCUCGAGUGGCGAACGGGUGAGUAACACGUGAGUAACCUGCCCUUGACUUUGGGAUAACUUCAGGAAACUGGGGCUAAUACCGGAUAGGAGCUCCUGCUGCAUGGUGGGGGUUGGAAAGUUUCGGCGGUUGGGGAUGGACUCGCGGCUUAUCAGCUUGUUGGUGGGGUAGUGGCUUACCAAGGCUUUGACGGGUAGCCGGCCUGAGAGGGUGACCGGCCACAUUGGGACUGAGAUACGGCCCAGACUCCUACGGGAGGCAGCAGUGGGGAAUAUUGCACAAUGGGCGGAAGCCUGAUGCAGCAACGCCGCGUGCGGGAUGACGGCCUUCGGGUUGUAAACCGCUUUCGCCUGUGACGAAGCGUGAGUGACGGUAAUGGGUAAAGAAGCACCGGCUAACUACGUGCCAGCAGCCGCGGUGAUACGUAGGGUGCGAGCGUUGUCCGGAUUUAUUGGGCGUAAAGGGCUCGUAGGUGGUUGAUCGCGUCGGAAGUGUAAUCUUGGGGCUUAACCCUGAGCGUGCUUUCGAUACGGGUUGACUUGAGGAAGGUAGGGGAGAAUGGAAUUCCUGGUGGAGCGGUGGAAUGCGCAGAUAUCAGGAGGAACACCAGUGGCGAAGGCGGUUCUCUGGGCCUUUCCUGACGCUGAGGAGCGAAAGCGUGGGGAGCGAACAGGCUUAGAUACCCUGGUAGUCCACGCUGUAAACGGUGGGUACUAGGUGUGGGGUCCAUUCCACGGGUUCCGUGCCGUAGCUAACGCUUUAAGUACCCCGCCUGGGGAGUACGGCCGCAAGGCUAAAACUCAAAGGAAUUGACGGGGCCCCGCACAAGCGGCGGAGCAUGCGGAUUAAUUCGAUGCAACGCGUAGAACCUUACCUGGGUUUGACAUGGAUCGGGAGCGCUCAGAGAUGGGUGUGCCUCUUUUGGGGUCGGUUCACAGGUGGUGCAUGGCUGUCGUCAGCUCGUGUCGUGAGAUGUUGGGUUAAGUCCCGCAACGAGCGCAACCCUUGUUCACUGUUGCCAGCACGUUAUGGUGGGGACUCAGUGGAGACCGCCGGGGUCAACUCGGAGGAAGGUGGGGAUGACGUCGAGUCAUCAUGCCCCUUAUGUCCAGGGCUUCACGCAUGCUACAAUGGCUGGUACAGAGAGUGGCGAGCCUGUGAGGGUGAGCGAAUCUCGGAAAGCCGGUCUCAGUUCGGAUUGGGGUCUGCAACUCGACCUCAUGAAGUCGGAGUCGCUAGUAAUCGCAGAUCUGCAACGCUGCGGUGAAUACGUUCCCGGGGCU